CGUGUUGCCAAGGAUUACUUAAAUAAUACUUUUCAGAAUCAUUGGAUUAGCAGAGGUGGACGAGUUGUGUGGCCACCAUGUUCCUCAUAGUGCCUACUCAUACUUUAGAAGAACUGCGCGAUCAAAUCAAUCAUAGUCCUUGUAUAUCUUUAUUAUUUUGCCGAAAAUAGGUAAAUACGCACGAACGAGAUGGAGUAAUUAGUUGAACGUAAUUACUUUAAAGAGAACUUUUUGGCAAGCAACCCGGCAAAGUUAACCUUAUUCCAUUUUUCCCCGGUUCUUCUUAAAGCUUAUUUACUUAAAAAUUUCUUUUAAAGUCACUUCUUUACUUGGUAUACUAUAAAUAACUUGUUUUUAUAUAAAUUUUUGUAUUUUUGCGGAACAAUUCUUUUAUCGCCGCAAUUCCAUUUUGUUCCCAUCUAUAAUAAAUUGGAAAAUCGACUGAAACGGAAGUAUUCUGCAUCAUAAAUGUACGUACAUUGCAUGGGGCUUAUUUCGGCAGUAUCCAUUUUACGAAUGUAAUAUACGACUUCUACGGAUUAUGGUGUGAGUGGACUGAAUUGCGUUUUCGCCAAUUUUACCUUUGGGACAGACAAAGAGAUAUAUGCGUGGCGAUACUUGGAUAUAACAAAUUUUCGUGGGAUCAAAGAGAGAAAGUUAUAAAAGGACGUGAAAGCUUUGUUUGUAGGGGACUAUUUUUGUUUGCUUUUUAUUAAAAAACUCAACAGAAAUUAUUAUAACCAGUAGGAGUUCAUUCUAGAAUGGGGAAAGAUAGAACGGGUGUUAUGGUGGCAUGUUUCUUGAUUAAAUUCAAAGGUCUCGAUGCGGAAACAGCUCUGUCGGAGUUGAGACGUAAUAGACCAAGAUCUAUAGAAGAAUUACCCGAUUUCGAAGCUUCAAUAAACGAAUAUUAUAAAACUGUACAAAAUACCUAAUUUUUAGUUGUAUUUGUUAUUUCUAAUUUUUGUUAUAACCAAAAACUUUCAAUGUACAAAAUUUUUGUUGAUACAAAAAGUGUGUAAAUAAUAAUCCUUGAAUUUUUUAAAUUAUUAAAGGGUUCAAAAAAUCAGAAUUAAUCGAAAAA